UCCCUCUUAGCUCAGUUGGUAGAGCGCGUCACUCGUAUAUGCGGAGACUAUAUUACAUAAUGACGAGGUCAGUCGUUCAAAUCGGCUAGCGGGAA